CCAGCCAACUCUAAAUGAAGAUAUCUUUCUUAAAAUAAAUCUACACUGACAUUACAUGAAAGUUAUCAACUUGAAUUCACUUUUUUUCCAAGUGGUGGUGAUGGGUUAUUUGUCAAAGGUAGAAAGUUCUAUUCUAUUUAUGAAUGCUUUGAGUACAAUUGUGAGAAAGGAGCUGCAACACCAAAAGGCUUGUAUCUUUCUGUGCACAUUCCAGUGUUAGAUGCCAGCAUAUUUAAAGGAAUCAAAGAAUAGCUGUCCCAUUCUAUUAGCAACUCAUCCAACUCAGUACAGACCUGAUGCUGCACUUAGCAAGUAAAUGAAGAUACGUCUUUGAUGUUGGCACAAAUGGAACAGUUCAGUGGUCCAUUUAAUCAACAUGCCAUUCAAACAACAUGUGGCAAAAAGAAUCAAAACUAGAAGUACGGAUUUUGGCCAACCACCAUUCAGAUACAGCUCCCAAUACGUAAGUUCUUCCCAACACUUCUGCAUUUCAUGUUUACAUCACAGAUGAGCAACACUGAGUGGCAGGACACGAUGGUCUCUUUAGAUGACCCCUAAAGCCACAUACAUUCCACCAUGUUUUCUAAAAAUGGACAGCUGAUGAACUAUCAAAACAAUAAUAAAAGUAGACAUCCCAUAAUUCCUUCAACAUCUCAUUCCCACUUCAUGUGAUGUGAAUCUAUCCACUUUUUGGCAAUAAGCCCUGCCACCUUGAGUUUAGGCCACAUCAAGAGCCGAAGCAACAGUUACUAUUGUGUUCAAUAUUAUAUAUAACUGGGAUUUAAAAAGUAUAAUCAGUGGAAAGUAUAAUUGGUAUAAUUUCAUGACUGAGUAUUCUAUGUCCAUUUAAACCAACUGUU